CCUACGGGGGGCAGCAGUGGGGGAUAUUGCACAAUGGAGGAAACUCUGAUGCAGCGACGCCGCGUGAGGGAAGACGGUCUUCGGAUUGUAAACCUCUGUCUGUGGGGAAGAAAAUGACGGUACCCAAAGAGGAAGCUACGGCUAACGACGGGCCAGCAGCCGCGGGAAUACGUAGGGAGCGAGCGUGGUCCGGAAUUACUGGGUGUAAAGGGAGCGUAGGCGGGCGUGAAAGUUGAAUGUUAAAUCUACCGGCUUACCUGGUAGCUGCGUUCAAAACUUCUUGUCUUGAGUGCCGUAGAGGCAGGCGGACUUCCUUGUGUAGCUGUGACCUGCGUAGCUAUUUGGA
rnacentral:rRNA from 1 species